rnacentral:rRNA from 2 species
UGGGGAAUAUUGCGCAAUGGGGGCAACCCUGACGCAGCAACGCCGCGUGAAGGAUGAAGGUCUUCGGAUUGUAAACUUUUGUCUUAUGGGAAGAAAACAAUGACGGUACCAUAGGAGGAAGCCACGGCUAACUACGUGCCAGCAGCCGCGGUAAUACGUAGGUGGCGAGCGUUGUCCGGAUUUACUGGGUGUAAAGGGCGUGUAGGCGGGUGUGUAAGUCAGAUGUGAAAUACCGAGGCUUAACUUCGGGGCUGCAUUUGAAACUGCACAUCUUGAGUGUCGGAGAGGAAAGCGGAAUUCCUAGUGUAGCGGUGAAAUGCGUAGAUAUUAGGAGGAACACCAGUGGCGAAGGCGGCUUUCUGGACGAUAACUGACGCUGAGGCGCGAAAGCGUGGGGAGCAAACAGG